rnacentral:rRNA from 1 species
AGAGCGAACGCUGGCGGCAGGCCUAACACAUGCAAGUCGAACGGACCCUUCGGGGUUAGUGGCGGACGGGUGAGUAACACGUGGGAACGUGCCUUUUGGUUCGGAAUAGCUCCUGGAAACGGGUGGUAAUGCCGAAUGUGCCCUUCGGGGGGAAAGAUUUAUCGCCAUUAGAGCGGCCCGCGUCUGAUUAGCUAGUUGGUGAGGUAAUGGCUCACCAAGGCGACGAUCAGUAGCUGGUCUGAGAGGAUGACCAGCCACAUUGGGACUGAGACACGGCCCAAACUCCUACGGGAGGCAGCAGUGGGGAAUCUUGCGCAAUGGGCGAAAGCCUGACGCAGCCAUGCCGCGUGAAUGAUGAAGGUCUUAGGAUUGUAAAAUUCUUUCACCGGGGACGAUAAUGACGGUACCCGGAGAAGAAGCCCCGGCUAACUUCGCGCCAGCAGCCGC